CAAUUAGAAUUUAAUUUCUAUGCGAGCAGGGUCAUUGUGAGUAUUGUUCACUGUUAUUCCUCGUAUCUAGAACAGGGGUAUAAACUGUUGAUAGUGAAAUCACACCACAUAUACUAAUGUGCAAUUUUCACAUUCCAUUUAAUAUAAUGUAACACAAACAGGUAUAUAUUUAUUCUUUUUAAAGAUUGCACUAUUCCAUUUUAUGACUAUGUGGUUCAUCAUUAAACCAUCUCUUUAUUGAUGGGCUAUUGGAUAUUUCCAGUUGUUAUAGGAGAGCUUCUACAGAAUGAAUUACUAGAAGUUGAAAUGCUACUGAAAGGGUAGGAAUCUGUUUAAUUUAAAUAGCUAUUUAUAAAUUCCCCUUUAGAAACAUUGUAGUGAUUUAUACUCCUACCAAGAGUCACAUGGAUGUUCCCACUUACCUACCUAUGGCUCAAGAAUUCUCUACCUAUCCCCUUUUUGGACUCUGUCUUGUCCACUUGACUUGUCAUUGUGGAACGUGCACACUUACCGAAGGCAGGGACUUCAUCUAUGGCCAUUGUAAAUGCUGUUUAGUUUAGUUUUGGCAUUUAUUCGUUUAUAUGUUGAUUCCUUUCUAGAGGUAAUUCAUUUGUGAAGUCACUAUGGUAGAGCAGUGGCCACUCAUGGCCACAUACUGACCAGAUCUCACUUAAAGGACAGGGGUAAGCCCCAGGGGUAUAUUACCAAAGUAUUGAGCCAAGAUGAAUUACAAGUGUUUAUCCAAGACAGCAUGAGAUAAUAAAAUCUGGGUAGAACACCAGUUAUUGAAAAUCACGAGGAUCAUGGCUAGAGAAAUUGCAGGAACUUUAAAUCUAAACGGUGAGGUGCUGCUGAAAACUGGAGGAGAAACAGUUAAGAGGAUCAACAAUAUGAGAUGGAGAUCAGGCCUCACAGAGACACAAGGGGCCACCGGCACAAGAGGGACCACCCUAGGAAGACGCAACAAAAUGGUGGCCAACAGCAAGCCAAGGAGAGAGCCUCAGAAGAAACCAAACCUGCUGACACGUCGAUCAUGAACUUUUGACCUCUCGAAUGUUAAGAAAAUAAAUAUCUGCUCUUUAA